rnacentral:lncRNA from 1 species
UUUUUAAAGACCUGAACAUCUGAUGUCCUUUCCUCUCCCAAAGGUUGUUGCAAAACUGUUGCCUGAAAAAUGAUAUUGCUUUUUAAUGGCACCUUUUGGAUUUUCUUUUCAUAUGAAAGAAACCAGCCAAGUUAGGUAUCAUUUUACUGUGCCAUUCCCAGGGCUACAUCUGUGAAAAAUAUAACUACUUGCAAUACAUUAAGAUGUUUAAUGACUGUUUUUUGGUUUUGAAAUUAAACCCUGAUCACAGUCAGAGGGGAAAUGAGUGAAAACUCAAGAUGACAUGAUGGACAAUUAGCACUGGGAAAAAACCUCUAGACCAGGAAAACAAAUCUGGGAGGAAAAAAAAAAUCAGACCAUUUUGAUUUCUUUUAAUUACAAAAAAUCACCAAUAAA